rnacentral:rRNA from 1 species
AUUGAACGCUGGCGGCAUGCUUUACACAUGCAAGUCGAACGGUAACAGGCCUUCGGGUGCUGACGAGUGGCGAACGGGUGAGUAAUGCAUCGGAACGUACCCAGAGGUGGGGGAUAACGCAGCGAAAGCUGUGCUAAUACCGCAUGUGAUCUGAGGAUGAAAGCGGGGGACCGAGCAGCAAUGUUUGGCCUCGCGCCUUUGGAGCGGCCGAUGUCGGAUUAGCUAGUUGGUGGGGUAAAGGCCUACCCAGGCGACGAUCCGUAGCUGGUCUGAGAGGACGACCAGCCACACUGGGACUGAGACACGGCCCAGACUCCUACGGGAGGCAGCAGUGGGGAAUUUUGGACAAUGGGCGCAAGCCUGAUCCAGCAAUGCCGCGUGCGGGAAGAAGGCCUUCGGGUUGGAAACCGCUUUUGGCAGGAACGAAACGGUGUCCGCUAAUACCGGGCGCUAAUGACGGUACCUGCAGAAUAAGCACCGGCUAACUACGUG